rnacentral:lncRNA from 1 species
AGGACAAGCUGUGAAAUGCCUAGAUUCCAGAGCAACAGACUGUGAUCCAUUCCCAACAACCCCUCCCUACCGUCUGCCACCAGUUCCCUUAAAGCAGGAAUCAGAGCUAGACUGACUCAACUAAGGUAAGAACUUGACAUAGCAUCGAUGAGCCCAAGUCAACUAUAUGAACAAAACAAUGUCUCAGGAGGGGCAGGGUAUCACGUCAGAAGAAUCCUGAGUCCUUAGAUGACCUUGUAGAAAAGAGCCACAAACUUACUCUGGGCUACCUUCAUACCUCUGAACUAUUAUGCAGAGAGAAAUAAAUGUAUUCAAAUCACUGUU